rnacentral:lncRNA from 1 species
CAGACGUGCCGCCGACUAGGCUCUCAAGCCUUUUACAAUAUACUUCAACAAUAAAUAAACCUCAAGUUGUUGUUUAUUGAUCCAACCUUUCUCAACAAUUUUAAUCAUGGAUCAAAAUCAUAAUUAUAUAUAUACAGUAUGUCUACGAUCAAGCGUACAGAUACUUAAAUUGGUGAUUUUAGCAAAAUUAGCGGGGGUGCAAACAAAUCUUUUUUAGUGAAAAGUUAGAGUAAACUUAGCUCUAGCUUCUGUCGUUUGCUCCGUUCGAUAGGAUUUAUCAGUAAAAAAAUUGUCAGAGGUUAAAAAUAAUAAGUGCAAAAAAAAGUAUGGUAGGAUGUUUUUUAUCCUUCCAUCGCAUAGGCCGUGGCCAAUAAUGCUUAAAACCACCAAAAAACAUUAUCGUUAGAUGUAGAUUUUAUUUUUUAAUAAUUAACGAAAUAAAUUUUGUAAGAUGUGAAUUAGUUCGCGAGAGCUAGACAUGGCGACCACAGCGGAACGCGGAACAGGGCGGACCGAAGCAAGACGGUACUACACCGGUUUGUUAUUGUUAUGACUCAAGGUUAGUUCGUCUGCUAGAGGUGUCCCUGUCACAACGCUCGACUCCGAAAUCCGAGCACAGUUUUUCGCGAAACGUCGGUAGAUCGCUAAAGAAGCGAUCUCGGAGCUUUCGCGAAAGAGUGCUCAUUGAAAUUUGAUUUUUCGGAGCUCGUAAAUCUGUCAGCAGCGGUGCUUUUCCUUUUCAAUAAAAAUCCAAGCCCAGUCUCAGAAUUUAAAAAAAACAUAGUGCUCUGAAUUUUGGAGAGGUAUCGAGUUAGUUUGAGAUCUUGAAUGUCAGGCGUCCUUGGCCUGACUCGAACGUUCCUUUUUAAACGUCAUCAACAAUUCUCUGGGUUUGAGAGCAAAAUCUGCCGAAUAAUUGAGUGUGUAUGCUAAGUUUGUAUUGUAAAAGAAUUUUAAAGCAUUAUUUUCAUUAGUGCUUUAGAAAAAAAAUUACUUGAUUGUUAAUUUUUAGAUAUAAGUUACAAUUUUCAGAACCAUAAUCUAGUAAGCGGCCAGUUUGAACGGCAAUUAGGACAAUUUAAACGCGUGCUCAUUGUGCAAAUAAAAAGUAUAAUCCAUACAAAUUCUUUACGUGACAGAUCGUGUAAGAAGUUUAUUCGGGCUGCUGGUCAACUUGCCAACCUCUCCUACAUCCUGCUGCGAAUCCUUUUCCAUCGGCGCGAUCCCAUACUACUCCUACUCAGUGAAUUUGCUCUCUACCUUCUAAUCAGCUUGUUUUUGACGAAUCGUCAAUACAGAAGAUGAAUACGCAAGAUCCGUUACAUAGCCCAGUACCGAAGUGGCCAACAAGGUUGAACUCAGCGACUUCGCAGAUACCGUAACCAAAGGUUGCUGUUCAAUAGUUUAACGCGAAGAUGCAAACGUCUGCUCAAGCCACAGCUAGCCAUCGCAACUAAAUGCUGCAGAAGUUUUCUACAAGCAUCAUUAUAGGAAACGAUAAUGAUGUUCGAGAUGAUCAGUUGGCUACACCCGGACGUAAGAAAAUCGGUACGGGGAGACGCACCUCAUGUUAAACUGCUAUAAAAGCAAAUUUCUAGUUCGUCAGCUAACACCUGCAAAGCAGGUCUCCUCUAGCAGACUUGCAAUACGACAAAGACAAACGCACACUCACACUUGAGCAAAAAAUUCAUGCGUAAUUGGCAUAGCUAUAACACUGUCAGUCAUAAAUCGAUGAACUUUUCAUUUAACUUGAUCCUGUAAGUGAUUUAUAAUGAAAAUAAAAUUUGUAAUAAAGAA